AUUGAACGCUGGCGGCAUGCUUUACACAUGCAAGUCGAACGGUAACAGGUUAAGCUGACGAGUGGCGAACGGGUGAGUAAUGCAUCGGAACGUGCCCGAUCGUGGGGGAUAACGCAGCGAAAGCUGCGCUAAUACCGCAUACGAUCUGAGGAUGAAAGCGGGGGACCGUAAGGCCUCGCGCGAUCGGAGCGGCCGAUGUCAGAUUAGGUAGUUGGUGGGGUAAAGGCCCACCAAGCCGACGAUCUGUAGCUGGUCUGAGAGGACGACCAGCCACACUGGGACGGAGACACGGCCCAGACUCCUACGGGAGGCAGCAGUGGGGAAUUUUGGACAAUGGACGCAAGUCUGAUCCAGCCAUUCCGCGUGCAGGAUGAAGGCCCUCGGGUUGUAAACUGCUUUUGUACGGAACGAAAAGGUCUCUCUUAAUACGGGGGACUCAUGACGGUACCGUAAGAAUAAGCACCGGCUAACUACGUGCCAGCCGCCGCAGUAA
rnacentral:rRNA from 1 species